CAGCAGCCGCGGGAAUACGAAGGGGGCUAGCGUUGUUCGGAAUUACUGGGCGUAAAGCGCACGCAGGCGGCUCGAUAAAUUAGAAGUGAAAGCCUUGGGCUUAACCUGAGAAUUGCUUUUAAAACUGUCGAGCUAGAAUCCAGAAGAGGGUAGUGGAAUUCCGGGUGUAGAGGUGAAAUUCGUAGAUAUUCGGAAGAACACCAGUGGCGAAGGCGACUACCUGGUCUGGCAUUGACGCUCAUGUGCGAAAGCGUGGGGAGCAAACAGGAUUAGAUACCCCCGUAGUCCCUGUCUCUUAUAC
rnacentral:rRNA from 1 species